CGGCGGUUUGGGAAGAGCCCGCGUAAGAUUAGCUAGUUGGUGAGGUAAUGGCUCACCAAGGCGACGAUCUUUAACUGGUUUGAGAGGAUGAUCAGUCACACUGGAACUGAGACACGGUCCAGACUCCUACGGGAGGCAGCAGUAAGGAAUUUCCACAAUGGGCGAAAGCCUGAUGGAGCAACGCCGCGUGCAGGAUGAAGGCCCUAGGGUUGUAAACUGCUUUUAUAUGUGACGAAUAUGACGGUAGCAUAUGAAUAAGGAUCGGCUAACUCCGUG
rnacentral:rRNA from 1 species